rnacentral:rRNA from 1 species
AGCAGCCGCGGUAAUUCCAGCUCCAAUAGCGUAUAUUAAAGUUGUUGCAGUUAAAAAGCUCGUAGUUGAAUUUCGGGAUCAAUUUGUCGGUCGUGCCUCGGUACGUACUGGUAUUAUUGUUUUCUACCUUCUGAAGAACCUUGAUGUCAUUAAUUUGGUGUCUUGGGGAAUCAGGACUGUUACUUUGAAAAAUUAGAGUGUUUAAAGCAAGCAUACGCUUGAAUACAUUAGCAUGGAAUAAUGAAAUAGGACGUUUGAUUCUAUUUUGUUGGUUUCUAGGAUCGACGUAAUGAUUAAUAGGGAUAGUUGGGGGCAUUAGUAUUCAAUUGUCAGAGGUGAAAUUCUUGGAUUUAUUGAAGACUAACUACUGCGAAAGCAUUUGCCAAGGAUGUUUUCAUUAAUCAAGAACGAAAGUUAGGGGAUCGAAGACGAUCAGAUACCGUCGUAGUCUUAACCAUAAACUAUGCCGACUAGGGAUCGGAUGAUG